rnacentral:rRNA from 1 species
CGACUUGGAGGUUGUUCCCUUGAGGAGUGGCUUCCGGAGCUAACGCGUUAAGUCGACCGCCUGGGGAGUACGGCCGCAAGGUUAAAACUCAAAUGAAUUGACGGGGGCCCGCACAAGCGGUGGAGCAUGUGGUUUAAUUCGAUGCAACGCGAAGAACCUUACCUACUCUUGACAUCCAGAGAACUUAGCAGAGAUGCUUUGGUGCCUUCGGGAACUCUGAGACAGGUGCUGCAUGGCUGUCGUCAGCUCGUGUUGUGAAAUGUUGGGUUAAGUCCCGCAACGAGCGCAACCCUUAUCCUUUGUUGCCAGCGAUUCGGUCGGGAACUCAAAGGAGACUGCCGGUGAUAAACCGGAGGAAGGUGGGGAUGACGUCAAGUCAUCAUGGCCCUUACGAGUAGGGCUACACACGUGCUACAAUGGCGCAUACAAAGAGAAGCGACCUCGCGAGAGCAAGCGGACCUCAUAAAGUGCGUCGUAGUCCGGAUCGGAGUCUGCAACUCGACUCCGUGAAGUCGGAAUCGCUAGUAAUCGUGGAUCAGAAUGCCACGGUGAAUACGUUCCCGGGCCUUGUACACACCGCCCGUCACACCAUGGGAGUGGGUUGCAAAAGAAGUAGGUAGCUUAACCCUUCGGGAGGGCGCUUACCACUUUGUGAUUCAUGACCGGGGUGAAGUCGUAACAAGGUACC